AACGAACGCUGGCGGCAGGCCUAACACAUGCAAGUCGAACGCCGUAGCAAUACGGAGUGGCAGACGGGUGAGUAACACGUGGGAACGUACCCUUCGGUUCGGAAUAACUCAGGGAAACUUGAGCUAAUACCGGAUGCGUCCGUAAGGAGAAAGAUUUAUCGCCGAAGGAUCGGCCCGCGUCGGAUUAGCUAGUUGGCGGGGUAAUGGCCCACCAAGGCGACGAUCCGUAGCUGGUCUGAGAGGAUGAUCAGCCACACUGGGACUGAGACACGGCCCAGACUCCUACGGGAGGCAGCAGUGGGGAAUAUUGGACAAUGGGCGAAAGCCUGAUCCAGCCAUGCCGCGUGAGUGAUGAAGGCCUUAGGGUUGUAAAGCUCUUUCUAGCGGGGAAGG
rnacentral:rRNA from 1 species